GGGCUUGUGGUCUAGCGGUUAUGACGUCGCCUUCACACGGCGGAGGCCGCCGGUUCAAAUCCGGCCGAGCCCACCA
rnacentral:tRNA from 1 species